UUCCGGUUGAUCCCGCCGGACCCCACUGCUAUCGGGGUGGGACUAAGCCAUGCAAGUCGGAGGUCCCCGGCUCCGGGGGCCUGGCAGACAGCUCAGUAACACGUGGCCAACCUGCCCCAGGGAGGGGGAUAACCCCGGGAAACUGGGGAUAAACCCCCAUAGGCGGCGGGCUCUGGAAGGACCUGCCGCUGAAAGUGCCCGUGGGGGAUGCUCUCACGGGCAGCCCUGGGAUGGGGCUGCGGCCCAUCAUGGUUGUUGGUGGGGUAACGGCCCACCAAGCCUAUAACGGGUACGGGCCCUGAGAGGGGGAGCCCGGAGAUGGACUCUGAGACAAGAGUCCAGGCCCUACGGGGCGCAGCAGGCGCGAAACCUCCCCAAUGCCCGGAAGGGUGAGGGGGUCACCCCGAGUGCCACCCUCGUGGUGGCUUUUGCGGGGUCUAAAAAGCCCCGCGAAUAAGGGGAGGGCAAGACGGGUGUCAGCCGCCGCGGUAAUACCCGCUCCCCGAGUGGCGGGGACUAUUACUGGGCUUAAAGCGUCCGUAGCCGGCCGGGUGUGUCCUCCGUUAAAUCCACGGGCCUAACCCGUGGGCUGCGGGGGAUACUACCCGGCUUGGGGGUGGGAGAGGGCGGCGGUAUUCCCGGGGUAGGGGUAAAAUCCUCUGAUCCCGGGAGGACCACCAGUGGCGAAGGCGGCCGCCCAGAACACGCCCGACGGUGAGGGACGAAAGCUGGGGGAGCAAACGGGAUUAGAUACCCCGGUAGUCCCAGCCGUAAACGAUGCGGGCUAGGUGUCGGGCUGGCUACGGGCCAGCCCGGUGCCGAAGGGAAACCAUUAAGCCCGCCGCCUGGGGAGUACGGCCGCAAGGCUGAAACUUAAAGGAAUUGGCGGGGGAGCACCACAAGGGGUGGACGUUGCGG
rnacentral:rRNA from 1 species